UAUUGCACAAUGGGGGAAACCCUGAUGCAGCGACGCCGCGUGAGUGAAGAAGUAUCUCGGUACGUAAAGCUCUAUCAGGAGGGAAGAAAAUGACGGUACCUGAUUAAGAAGCCCCGGCUAACUACGUGCCAGCAGCCGCGGUAAUACGUAGGGGGCAAGCGUUAUCCGGAUUUACUGGGUGUAAAGGGAGCGUAGACGGCAGCGCAAGUCUGGAGUGGAAUGCCGGGGCCCAACCCCGGAACUGCUUUGGAAACUGUGCAGCUCGAGUGCAGGAGAGGUAAGCGGAAUUCCUAGUGUAGCGGUGAAAUGCGUAGAUAUUAGGAGGAACACCAGUGGCGAAGGCGGCUUGCUGGACGAUGACUGACGUUGAGGCUCGAAAGCGUGGGGAGCAA
rnacentral:rRNA from 1 species